rnacentral:rRNA from 1 species
ACGGGAGGCAGCAGUGGGGAAUAUUGGGCAAUGGGCGAAAGCCUGACCCAGCAACGCCGCGUGAAGGAAGAAGGUUUUCGGAUUGUAAACUUCUUUUAUCAGGGACGAAGAACGUGACGGUACCUGAUGAAUAAGCCACGGCUAACUACGUGCCAGCAGCCGCGGUAAUACGUAGGGGGCAAGCGUUAUCCGGAUUUACUGGGUGUAAAGGGAGCGUAGACGGCAUAGCAAGUCUGAUGUGAGAACCCAGGGCUCAACCCUGGGACUGCAUUGGAAACUGUUGAGCUAGAGUGCAGGAGAGGUAAGUGGAAUUCCUAGUGUAGCGGUGAAAUGCGUAGAUAUUAGGAGGAACACCAGUGGCGAAGGCGGCUUACUGGACUGUAACUGACGUUGAGGCUCGAAAGCGUGGGGAGCAAACAGGAUUAGAUACCCUGGUA